rnacentral:rRNA from 1 species
CCUACGGGGGGCAGCAGUGGGGAAUAUUGCACAAUGGGGGAAACCCUGAUGCAGCGACGCCGCGUGAGUGAGGAAGGAUUUCGGUAUGUAAAGCUCUAUCAGCAGGGAAGAAAAUGACAGUACCUGACUAAGAAGCCCCGGCUAACUACGUGCCAGCAGCAGCGGUAAUACGUAGGGGGCAAGCGUUAUCCGGAUUUACGGGGUGUAAAGGGAGCGUAGACGGCUAAUCAAGUCAGAGGUGAAAACCCAGGGCUCAACCCUGGGAGUGCUUUUGAAACUGCGUAGCUGGAGUGUAGGAGAGGUAGGCGGAAUUCCUGGUGUAGCGGUGAAAUGCGUAGAUAUUAGGAGGAACACCAGUGGCGAAGGCGGCUUACUGGACUAUAACUGACGUUGAGGCUCGAAAGCGUGGGGAGCAAACAGGAUUAGAUACCCUAGUAGUC